rnacentral:rRNA from 1 species
AUACGUAGGGUGCGAGCGUUGUCCGGAAUUACUGGGCGUAAAGAGCUCGUAGGUGGUUUGUCGCGUCGUCUGUGAAAUUCCGGGGCUUAACUUCGGGCGUGCAGGCGAUACGGGCAAUACUUGAGUGCUGUAGGGGAGACUGGAAUUCCUGGUGUAGCGGUGGAAUGCGCAGAUAUCAGGAGGAACACCGAUGGCGAAGGCAGGUCUCUGGGCAGUAACUGACGCUGAGGAGCGAAAGCAUGGGUAGCGAACAGGAUUAGAUACCCUGGUAGUCCAUGCCGUAAACGGUGGGCGCUAGGUGUAGGGGUCUUCCACGACUUCUGUGCCGUAGCUAACGCAUUAAGCGCCCCGCCUGGGGAGUACGGCCGCAAGGCUAAA